rnacentral:lncRNA from 1 species
CUUGAUGGUGCAGUCAUUGCAUGUCAACUUCCAGACAAAGGGUCAGUUUCCAAUCAGGAAAUGGUGCUCGAAAUGCCUUGAAAGGAGAAAGCGAAUCCGACUGUGAAAAGCUAAUGGAGUUUAAGGAUGGGACAAACAUCGCUAUCUGAUUCCAAGCUCUGAUUUCACAAAGCGGAGCAUACUAUACAUAUUGAGCCGAAUGCCUGCAGCAGUCGCUGCACUUCGAAUGGAUGAAAGUCAUAUCGCAGCUCUCACUUGUUACAUUCUUGACGCCAGUACGGCCGCCUAUGGUGCUUGCGUAGUUGUCAGAUCCGAACUGCAGUGGUAUUUUUAUCACAUUUGCUGUGCUCUAAAUCCAGGGUAGCCCCGUUAAAGACGCUCACUAUCCCAAAGCUUGAGCUGUCAGCUGCUCCUUUAUUAUCAGAACUCAUUGGGACCAUCGCCAAGCGCAUUCAAUUCGAAUGUAAAUAUCAUUGGUGGCCGGACCUAAGAGUAGUGCUAGCAUGGAUUCCUGAAUCGUUUAACGUUUUUGUGUCCAACAUAGUAUUACAAAUACAUGAGCUGACAAAGGGAAUGACCUGGCAUCAUGUACCCUCUCAACUGAACACUGCGGACAUUCUAUCAAAAGGAUGCACUCCUCUGGAACUUCUGGACUCGCAACUAUGGCAUAAUUCAUACAUACGUCGCUCAUCCCUUUGAGCUUCCGGAGCGACGACACAAGGUGCUGGCGCUAUUAACCAAGACGGAUCUAACAGAAUCUUGUAAAUUCCACUCUAAAGGGAUCUGAUUCUGAGCUUUUAAAAGGAUCACUCACUCCAUUUGAAAUCAAAUGCGGAACGCUUCUACUAAUAAUAAACAACGACUUCAGAAUUCGGACUUGGAAUAGUCUUAAUCUGGUCGUUGAUAUGCAAUGACUGAACCAUCAAGUCGCCAAG